CCUCAAGUGAUCCAUCCGCCUCAGCCUCCCAAAGUGCUAGGAUUACAGACAAUGCUGUGCCUAAUGACCCGCCUUUCUGGCCACACUCAGUUUCUACAUCUGCAAAAUGGGCCAGCAACACUGGCGCUGAUGACAUCAUGUGAUGCAGAGGACACCCCAGAUGUCCACAGGGCCAUGGGUGAGAAACCCUGCUUGAGGGAAUAAGGACUUUCAGCCAAAGGAUGGGCCAACUAGGGCCCUAGGUCUGGGGACUUCAGGGCGGGCCGUGUGGGUGUGAGGGGAACAGGAAGGGAAGGAGCCCAGGACUGCGGCUCUGUGCCCCCUGGCUAUGGAAGGUCCUUUGCUCUUCUCCCCAUGUUUUCCUUGAGGAAUCUUGGCUGACAAUCCCAUGUUCCUAUUAAUUCGACUGUCUUCCUUCAAGAUCUACCUCCUCUAAGAAGUCCUCCUGGGCUGCCCCAGGGUUCCUGGUACUUACUCCACUUUCCAUCUUCCAACUUGAGAUGACAUGCUGCCUCCAUCACCUUCCCACAUAACAUCUCACUGGGCUGCACCACAGCCCAUUCCCUGACCUCUGAGUGCACGCUCCCUUCUCCAGGACUUUGCACACAUAGGUUCCUCCUGCCUGGGAAGGCAGGGAUGGAGGCUGUGUGAGCCAAGGUGAGUCACUAACCCUCUCUGAGCCUCUCUUGCAUCACUGCCUUUCCAGCCCCCAGCAUAGGCUUGGGAUGUAGGCUGUUGCCAGUGGACUGAACUGUGCCCCAUGUAUGUUCUUACUGGGUACCACUCUGUCCUGCCAGGGGGAGGUCAUGGUCAUAGGCACCGGAUGUGCUGUGGGCCUUACAUAGUGGUGUGCUGGGAAAUGCUUAACAACUGGCUUUCUGCAGGAAAAAAAAUCAACCUUGAUUUGUAGCAUCUGCCAAUUUCCAUAAUCUAAAUAUUUCCACAACUUCGAACUUCACGCUGCCAACAUGAACACAGCUGGGCAGAGAUGCACACAGUGAGCUCCCACGAGCUGCUGCGAGCCGACUCGAGCACACCAUUGGCCUUAGUUCAUCACAUCCAACCACACUGUGAGGACACUGAGGCUCAGCGCCCUACAGCUGAUCAGCAGCGGAGCUGGGACUAGAAUCUGGGUCUCUGGCUGUUGACAUUCAUGAGAAAAUAUCCAUACAGGCGUGAUAGCUCCUCACGGACCAACACAAGCUUCAAGCAUCGUUUAAACGCACAGGGCCCCAGCCCAUCAUUUUGGCAGUUAGGACUGCACUCUCCUUCCUGAGAAGCCUGGAACCCCAGGCUCAGGGCUCAGCCCUGACCACAUCAGGGCCUCAGGAAGCACCAUUGGGAUGCUGGCUGCAAAAUAUUUCCCCUGUGAGCUGAACAUCUGUCUUGGGUGGACCAGAGAUCACGUCCAUUUGGCUGUGCAUCCAAAAGCCCUGCUGGCUGUAGCCUCUGCUUCCUGGUGAUUUCUGUUUUCUUUUUUGCCCAGUCACAUCUGGUUGCCAUCUGUAGUUAUGGGGGUAGCCGAUCACAAUUCAAAACCCUGGGUGGGGCUUUAUGCAUGUUUCUUUGGCUGGGAGAUUUUGGAGAAGGAAAGCUCUGUUUUAAGAUCAAAAUUAGCUGAACAGUACUCAGCUGGGUCACACAGACAGUGAGGAUUAGAAAGGCCCUAACUCUAGCCUGGGCAACAUAGUGAGACUUUGUCUCUACUGGAAAAAAAAAAAAAAAUCAGCGGGGUGUGGUGGAAUGCAUCCAUAGUCCCUGCUACUCUGGAGGCUGAGGUAGGAGGACUGCUUGAGCUCGGGAGGUGGAGGCCGCAGUGAAUUAUGAUUGUGCCACUGUACUCCAGCCAGGGUGACAGAGCGAAGAAGCAUUGUCUAAAAGAGGGGCUAGCAAAUUUUCUUCUGUAAAAGGCCAGAAAGUAAAUAUGUUUAGUUUCAUGGGCCACACGGUCUCUGUCCUAAAUAUUCAACUCAGUACUUAGAACAUAAGCAGCCCUAGAUGCUGACUAUAUGUAUGGGUUGUGUUCCAAUAAAACUUGUUUUGCAAAAUCAGGUGGUGCGCCAGAGAUGGCUGGGAGGGCCACAGUUUGCAGACCCUGAUGGAGAGGAAAGGAUUGAGCAUCUUAUCAAAACUACUCCCCCUGCCCCACCCGGGCCCCCAUUUGUUGACUGGGCUCUUAUUGAAAGCCAGUGGCUGGUGCUGCAACUCUGGGGCAGCACGAGGCUCAUCACACUGCCUUGCCCUGGCCCUUGCUCUCCAUCACAAUUCCCACUUAAAGUCACUUUCUUCCUCCUGGAAGUCUUCCUUGAAGACCUCCUCUACUAGGCCCAAUGUCUUUGUAAUGGUUCUCCCCAGUUCUGGCAUUGCAGAAUGGGAAAAUCAAUAUCACACGUUAACUCAGAGAGGCCUUCCCUGACCACCCUGCCCCAGGACAGCAAAUUCUUCCAACACUCCCCAGAUGCCCCGACCCUGCUUUAUCCACCCCAGUUGCACAUUUCACCUUGGGGGAUAUAUUUUGCAUUUCUGUUUACUUGUUAUUGUUUAUCUCCCCCACUCGAAUGUAAGUUUUAUUCAGGCAGGGACCUUACCUUGCUCAGUCUUCAUAUCUGACACCUCAGUGGUGCCUGGCCUAUAGUAGGUGUUUAAUGAACGUAUUUGCUAAACGCAUGAAUGAAUAUCAUCAUCACAUUGCAAGAUGCUUGCUUGUUUAAUGUUUGUUUUUCGCUUGAAUUGUGAACAUCCUAAAAACAUGGACUGGGUCUUCCUAAGUUUUGCUCAUUGUCAAAAAAAGUUUGCUGAAUCACUGAAUGAAUGAAUUUACUUGAUAAAAAUGUAUGAUACCAAGAA